rnacentral:rRNA from 1 species
GAUGAACGCUGGCGGCGUGCCUAAUACAUGCAAGUCGAGCGAACAGAUGAGGAGCUUGCUCCUCUGACGUUAGCGGCGGACGGGUGAGUAACACGUGGAUAACCUACCUAUAAGACUGGGAUAACUUCGGGAAACCGGAGCUAAUACCGGAUAAUAUAUUGAACCGCAUGGUUCAAUAGUGAAAGACGGUUUUGCUGUCACUUAUAGAUGGAUCCGCGCCGCAUUAGCUAGUUGGUAAGGUAACGGCUUACCAAGGCAACGAUGCGUAGACGAGCUGAGAGGGUGAUCGGCCACACUGGAACUGAGACACGGUCCAGACUCCUACGGGAGGCAGCAGUAGGGAAUCUUCCGCAAUGGGCGAAAGCCUGGCGGAGCAACGCCGCGUGAGUGAUGAAGGUCUUCGGAUCGUAAAACUCUGUUAUUAGGGAAGAACAAAUGUGGAAGUAACUAUGCACUGCUUGACGGUACCUAAUCAGAAAGCCACGGCUAACUACGUG